UGACAGGAUGGUCAGAGAGAUGCUGU
rnacentral:piRNA from 1 species